rnacentral:rRNA from 1 species
AUUGAACGCUGGCGGCAGGCUUAACACAUGCAAGUCGAGCGGGGGAAGGUAGCUUGCUACCGGACCUAGCGGCGGACGGGUGAGUAAUGCUUAGGAAUCUGCCUAUUAGUGGGGGACAACAUCUCGAAAGGGAUGCUAAUACCGCAUACGUCCUACGGGAGAAAGCGGGGGAUCUUCGGACCUUGCGCUAAUAGAUGAGCCUAAGUCGGAUUAGCUAGUUGGUGGGGUAAAGGCCUACCAAGGCGACGAUCUGUAGCGGGUCUGAGAGGAUGAUCCGCCACACUGGGGCUGAGACACGGCCCAGACUCCUACGGGAGGCAGCAGUGGGGAAUAUUGGACAAUGGGGGGAACCCUGAUCCAGCCAUGCCGCGUGUGUGAAGAAGGCCUUAUGGUUGUAAAGCACUUUAAGCGAGGAGGAGGCUACUCUAGUUAAUACCUAGGGAUAGUGGACGUUACUCGCAGAAUAAGCACCGGCUAACUCUGUGCCAGCCGCCGCAGUAAGAC